AAAGGUGCAUCAUCAAAAGUGAUUACUUCCCCCUACCAGUCAGAGAUUGCCAAACUCAGAAUGGAACGUCUUCGUAUUGAGGAAGACAGACUACUGGAGUUGAAACGUCAUGAAGAAAUUGAACGGAUUCGAGGACCAAAUCAUCGAUGGUACGAGUCUAAAGGUCCUGACUUUCAUUACGAGUGUAGUAAAAAUACAGAAAUGAUGAAACAUGAAGACCACUGGGAAGAGUUGGUGGAUUAUCGAAACAAUCUGAUGGAAUGUUCAACAGCUUUCAGGAAGUCGUAUGGAGCAUUUGCCUAACAGGUCUUUCUGUUUUCCAUGUGAACUAUGUAGUCUGUUUGUCAAUUGAGGUCACCGACAUGGGAAAUUCAGACUAGAUGAAUAUUAUCUAUAUAAUGACUUUCCAUUUCUAAAAUACAGAACAUAACAACUGAAUACCUGGUGAAACUUAGUGUUUAUUCAAGCUGACAAUAUUGUAGUUUUAAAGAACGGAUAUAUACAUUUUACUUCAAAAAGAAAAGGUUUCAUUCAGUCAAUAUUUCACGAAAAGAGCUGACACCAUUAUGUUACAAAUAGUGAGAAGUUUUACUGAAUUAUGAAGUUGUAAAAAUAGGAAAUAUAUCAUACCUGGUCAUGCAUUACUGCUUUUGUUAUGGAUGCUAUUUGCUUGUAGUUUUUUUUGUGUUCUUAUUUGUAUAUUUAUUGCAUUAAUGUCUUGACAUUAUAAUGUCUUUUACUAUCAGUUCAUUUUUGUGUGUGUUUAUCUUGUUCUAAGUGUCUACAGGACUGUGUUUCCACAAUUCCACACAAAGAAAUAGGUACAAUAUCUUUAUGAAUCAUAAUUGUCUGGUUAUAAAUAAUAGAUAAUGCUUAUUAAAAUCCUACAGGGUAAGAUAACUCUGGCUAUAAAUAAGAGAUAAAUGCAUAUACAAUUUGUGUUGGGAAAGAUAACUCUGGUUAUAAAUUAUAGAUGUUGGUUAUUAAAAUUGUGUUUGGGGAAGGUACUAUUAAAUGAAUCACAACAGUAUGAGAGGUACAAUAUGGUAUAUUUUCGAAAUUUACCUGACAAAUAAUUUUAAUUAUAUUCCAUUUACAUGUACAAUAUUAUGCUUGUCAUAUAUAUGCGAAGUAUUAUAGUGAUGUUUUUAAAGUUAAUAUAUUUAUAUGUAGUGAUAAAAUGUAUUUUUGCAAUAUGUGUAAGACACAAAAUAGCAAAGCUGUGAUAUAAAUAUGUAAAAAUGAUUUAACACAAUAAAUUUAAUUGUUAAGUUUUAAAGCCUCGUCACAUAAUGAUGCACACUCAUACAAACUAUGUAUGUGUUUUAUACCAAUGUGUCAAUCGUGGUUGACUGAACCCCACACUAUGUUGUCAAGCUGAAGGUUUCCAGUAACGGAACAUGCAUCCACCCAAUAAUAUAUUAUGGAAUAGUGAAAGGGUCUAUCAGUUAAAAGAAUUCUUUGUAUAAUGACUAUAAAUAUGGAUAAAUAUGUUUUUUUGUAUAUUAAAAUAGGGUUUUUGUGAAUUUACAUUCUGUGACAGAAAAAAACCAAUUAUGCAAAUCUUAGUGUGUUUCCAUACACAUAUAAUUUGUAAUUGACAAUUAAUAACAGGGCAGCAUAUUCCUAUAGCAUUGAACUCAGAAAUAUACAUUUUUUAUUGUACAUGUUUUGAAGUGAUUAUUGAAAAAAACUACAAAUGAAAUGUACACGAUCUGUUUUGGGAAUGAAUAAAUUUGUUUGGAUAUAAAGUGAAUGAUUUUUUUAUCAUAAUGUAUACGGUACAUCAUGUGUGAAGAAUCAGUGCAAUGGUAGAUUGCUUCAUCAAUUAUCAAUUUGACCAAUAACUCAUUGAACUGAUCCUCUAAUAUAUGUCAAGUGUUGAAUCUCAGGGUGAAUCAUUAGUUUUACCUGUUGGAAAAGUACUGUUUAGUAUUCAUUAGUGUGUAAGUUUUGUGAUCCCAAAUGUACAUUGUGCAACAAUGACAGAAGCUUUAGCAAAUAACAAUGAAAAUAUUUAUAUUGUCCUUUAAAUUUCAUAGUACCAAUACACUGUAAUUGUGUAUUCUGUCACGGAAAUAAUAUGAUAUAUGCCCUUAAAAAAGAAAAGAAAGCAUUUUUUUUCUCUCAAUAAAGUUGGUGUACACUUUAAAUAUGCAUAAUAUGCAGCCUUGUUCAGACUUUCUAUUGCUUUCUAUUUUCAAAUACUAGUAUUAUUCAGGACGUUAUGGUGAGGAGAGGGUCAGGAGAAAAAUUGUCUGAAAUAAAAAAUGUUACAGAUUAAUACAACCAGUAAUUUGUCAAAUUUUGAUAAAAAAACAGAAUAUGUUUCCCCCUGCAAUGCUCAGUUACCUAAGCUUUACAAGUGCUAGAUGUUACAUUCCAGUAUUUUUAUUUUUUGAUCAUGUUGCAUGCAUGCUGAUGCCAGUUAUAAUUAACACUUGCUUAUAGUAACCUUGUUGUAGAUUAAACAGAAAGGAAAAUAAAUAAUUGCACAU
rnacentral:lncRNA from 1 species